rnacentral:rRNA from 1 species
UACGGAGGAUGCAAGCGUUAUCCGGAUUUAUUGGGCGUAAAGCGUCCGCAGGUGGUUUUCCAAGUCUGCUGUUAAAGCGCGAGGCUUAACCUCGUACAGGCAGUGGAAACUGGAUGACUAGAGUAUGGUAGGGGUAGCGGGAAUUCCCAGUGUAGCGGUGAAAUGCGUAGAUAUUGGGAAGAACACCAGCGGCGAAAGCGCGCUACUGGGCCAUUACUGACACUCAUGGACGAAAGCUAGGGGAGCGAAUGGG